rnacentral:rRNA from 1 species
UACGUAGGGUCCGAGCGUUGUCCGGAAUUAUUGGGCGUAAAGGGCUCGUAGGCGGUUUGUCGCGUCGGGAGUGAAAUCCUACGGCUUAACUGUGGGCUUGCUUUCGAUACGGGCAGACUAGAGGUAUGCAGGGGAGAACGGAAUUCCUGGUGUAGCGGUGAAAUGCGCAGAUAUCAGGAGGAACACCGGUGGCGAAGGCGGUUCUCUGGGCAUGAUCUGACGCUGAGGAGCGAAAGUGUGGGGAGCGAACAGG